GCAAGGGCGGCAGCUACACAUGCAAGUCGAGCGGUAACAGAUCCAGCUUGCUGGAUGCUGACGAGCGGCGGACGGGUGAGUAAUGCAUAGGAAUCUGCCCGAUAGUGGGGGAUAACCUGGGGAAACCCAGGCUAAUACCGCAUACGUCCUACGGGAGAAAGGGGGCUUCGGCUCCCGCUAUCGGAUGAGCCUAUGUCGGAUUAGCUAGUUGGUGAGGUAACGGCUCACCAAGGCCACGAUCCGUAGCUGGUCUGAGAGGAUGAUCAGCCACAUCGGGACUGAGACACGGCCCGAACUCCUACGGGAGGCAGCAGUGGGGAAUAUUGGACAAUGGGGGGAACCCUGAUCCAGCCAUGCCGCGUGUGUGAAGAAGGCCCUCGGGUUGUAAAGCACUUUCAGCGAGGAAGAACGCCUAGCGGUUAAUACCCGCUAGGAAAGACAUCACUCGCAGAAGAAGCACCGGCUAACUCCGUGCCAGCAGCCGCGGUAAUACGGAGGGUGCAAGCGUUAAUCGGAAUUACUGGGCGUAAAGCGCGCGUAGGUGGCUUGAUAAGCCGGUUGUGAAAGCCCCGGGCUCAACCUGGGAACGGCAUCCGGAACUGUCAAGCUAGAGUGCAGGAGAGGAAGGUAGAAUUCCCGGUGUAGCGGUGAAAUGCGUAGAGAUCGGGAGGAAUACCAGUGGCGAAGGCGGCCUUCUGGACUGACACUGACACUGAGGUGCGAAAGCGUGGGUAGCAAACAGGAUUAGUUCC
rnacentral:rRNA from 1 species